AACGAAAUCGUUUUUGGCUAUGCCAUUUUUAGUCAAUGUGAUCUAUAACAGGUGAGGAGGUGGCUUUGUGUAGCAUGCGUUGAUUUAGUUGUGUGAGUGUGUCGUUAGUGAUGUGCACAUAGCAACCAUUGCCCCUCUGAUUGGUGACGUCAUACAGUUUGUUAUUCGUGUCAGACUACAAGUGAAAAAAGAAAAUCCUUCGAACUAGUCAACAACGAUGCCUGUCUGUGCUUUAAAAACUUGUAAAAUACCAUCGUAUCGUCUAAGAAAACUAAGCCUUUCGAUAAGUUUUCACUUGUUUCCGAAAAACAUUUCUAUUCGGCACCGAUGGCUUUCGUUCUGUGGCAUCAAAGAUGGUCCGAACUUUUAUUUGUGCUCUCAGCACUUUUUGAGAAGCGAUUACGAAAACCGAUACAUGGACCAUGCUCGUCAGAAGUUACUGAAAAAUGCUGUUCCAACAAUUCGUUCCCCACCUCCUGAAAUUCCAUCGGCCAGAUCGCAGCGCGCAGAACGUAAAAAUCGUUCAGAUCUUGUGGCGAAGCUUAUUGAGGUAUAUGACCACGAAAAUCAAUAUCCUAGUGAAAGCCGUUCAUCUUAUAUUUCUGCAUGUGACUCCACAGAACAAUCUAAUCAAAUACCAUCUACUAAGGAAGCCAAUUUAGGUGCUGACGUUGUACCAACGCAGUCAUCUGCACCUCCUGGAUUACUCACUCUAUCCGACGAUGUCUUGAAUGAUGAAGCUCUUGAAACGGAGAUCUCAGCACAAUUUUCAAAUCAAUUUAAUAUACUAACCGAAUGUCAUUCAACCGAUUUGGCUCACGCUGGUCCAGAAAGCGAAAAUGUUGAAGAACGAAGUGGUAAGGCAAUUGUUUUGAUGAUUUUUCUAUUGCAUCUAGAGUAUUAUUAGAAACUUAACUUACACUAUUCAUUCUGUAGCGGUUUUCUCCACUGAUGCAGCACCAACGCAAUCAAAUUCACUUCCAGUAUUAACCAUUUCAACCGACGAAGUAAUAGAAGUAGUUGCUCUUAAAUCGAAAGUUUCUGAACAAUUUCGAAGCCAAUUAAAUGAACAAACCGACCUCUAUUCGCCUGAUUGGAUUCACAUUAGUCAAGAACAUGAAACUUUUAUUGAUCACAAUGGUAAGGUAAUAAAUUUAAUUUUUGUUGUCAGAAGUUUCAA